GCGAACGCUGGCGGCAGGCUUAACACAUGCAAGUCGAACGGGCACUUCGGUGUCAGUGGCAGACGGGUGAGUAACGCGUGGGAACGUACCUUUUGGUUCGGAACAACUGAGGGAAACUUCAGCUAAUACCGGAUAAGCCCUAACGGGGAAAGAUUUAUCGCCGAAAGAUCGGCCCGCGUCUGAUUAGCUAGUUGGUAGGGUAAUGGCCUACCAAGGCGACGAUACAUAGCCGACCUGAGAGGGUGAUCGGCCACACUGGGACUGAGACACGGCCCAGACUCCUACGGGAGGCAGCAGUAGGGAAUCUUCGGCAAUGGGGGCAACCCUGACCGAGCAACGCCGCGUGAGUGAAGAAGGUUUUCGGAUCGUAAAGCUCUGUUGUAAGUCAAGAACGGGUGUGAGAGUGGAAAGUUCACACUGUGACGGUAGCUUACCAGAAAGGGACGGCUAACUACGUGCCAGCAGCCGCGGUAAUACGUAGGUCCCGAGCGUUGUCCGGAUUUAUUGGGCGUAAAGCGAGCGCAGGCGGUUUGAUAAGUCUGAAGUUAAAGGCUGUGGCUCAACCAUAGUUCGCUUUGGAAACUGUCAAACUUGAGUGCAGAAGGGGAGAGUGGAAUUCCAUGUGUAGCGGUGAAAUGCGUAGAUAUAUGGAGGAACACCGGUGGCGAAAGCGGCUCUCUGGUCUGUAACUGACGCUGAGGCUCGAAAGCGUGGGGAGCGAACAGGAUUAGAUACCCUGGUAGUCCACGCCGUANACGAUGAGUGCUAGGUGUUGGAUCCUUUCCGGGAUUCAGUGCCGCAGCUAACGCAUUAAGCACUCCGCCUGGGGAGUACGACCGCAAGGUUGAAACUCAAAGGAAUUGACGGGGGCCCGCACAAGCGGUGGAGCAUGUGGUUUAAUUCGAAGCAACGCGAAGAACCUUACCAGGUCUUGACAUCCCGAUGCUAUUUCUAGAGAUAGAAAGUUACUUCGGUACAUCGGUGACAGGUGGUGCAUGGUUGUCGUCAGCUCGUGUCGUGAGAUGUUGGGUUAAGUCCCGCAACGAGCGCAACCCCUAUUGUUAGUUGCCAUCAUUCAGUUGGGCACUCUAGCGAGACUGCCGGUAAUAAACCGGAGGAAGGUGGGGAUGACGUCAAAUCAUCAUGCCCCUUAUGACCUGGGCUACACACGUGCUACAAUGGUUGGUACAACGAGUUGCGAGUCGGUGACGGCGAGCUAAUCUCUUAAAGCCAAUCUCAGUUCGGAUUGUAGGCUGCAACUCGCCUACAUGAAGUCGGAAUCGCUAGUAAUCGCGGAUCAGCACGCCGCGGUGAAUACGUUCCCGGGCCUUGUACACACCGCCCGUCACACCACGAGAGUUUGUAACACCCGAAGUCGGUGAGGUAACCUUUUGGAGCCAGCCGCCUAAGGUGGGACAGAUGAUUGGGGUGAAGUCGUAACAAGGUAGCCGUAUCGGAAGG
rnacentral:rRNA from 1 species